UCCUGCUGCAUGGCUGCCAGGCUCUCUCUGGACACUACCUGGUGGAGAGAGGGGUCAGAGGUUAGAGGUCAGGUAUAGUGUUCCUGCUGCAUGGCUGCCAGGCUCUCUCUGGACACUACCUGGUGGAGAGAGGGGUCAGAGGUUAGAGGUCAGGUAUAGUGUUCCGGCUGCAUGGCUGCCAGGCUCUCUCUGGACACUACCUGGUGGAGAGAGGGGUCAGAGGUUAGAGGUCAGGUAUAGUGUUCCUGCUGCAUGGCUGCCAGGCUCUCUCUGGACACUACCUGGUGGAGAGAGGGGUCAGAGGUUAGAGGUCAGGUAUAGUGUUCCUGCUGCAUGGCUGCCAGGCUCUCUCUGGACACUACCUGGUGGAGAGAGGGGUCAGAGGUCAGGUAUAGUGUUCCUGCUGCAUGGCUGCCAGGCUCUCUCUGGACACUACCUGGUGGAGAGAGGGGUCAGAGGUUAGAGGUCAGGUAUAGUGUUCCUGCUGCAUGGCUGCCAGACUCUCUCUGGACACUACCUGGUGGAGAGAGGGGUCAGAGGUUACACUAGGUCAGGUAUAGUGUUCCUGCUCCAUCGCAGCCAGGUUCUCUGCUUACUACCUGGUGGAGGGGGGUCAGAGGUUAGAGGUCAGGUAUAGGAUUAGAAUCAGAGGAAAUGAUAGACGUCUUUAGAAUCAGAUUCAUAGUCCUCCCUAUAAGGUGGCACGGUAGAAUGUAAUGAGGUCUCUGAUGCUACCACAGUAGAAUGUAAUGAGGUCUCUGAUGCUACCACAGUAGAAUGUAAUGAGGUCUCUGAUGCUACCACAGUAGAAUGUAAUGAGGUCUCUGAUGCUACCACAGUAGAAUGUAAUGAGGUCUCUGAUGCUACCACAGUAGAAUGUAAUGAGGUCUCUGAUGCUACCACAGUAGAAUGUAAUGAGGUCUCUGAUGCUACCACAGUAGAAUGUAAUGAGGUCUCUGAUGCUACCACAGUAGAAUGUAAUGAGGUCUCUGAUGCUACCACAGUAGAAUGUAAUGAGGUCUCUGAUGCUACCACAGUAGAAUGUAAUGAGGUCUCUGAUGCUACCACAGUAGAAUGUAAUGAGGUCUCUGAUGCUACCGCAGUAGAAUGUAAUGAGGUCUCUGAUGCUACCGCAGUAGAAUGUAAUGAGGUCUCUGAUGCUACCGCAGUAGAAUGUAAUGAGGUCUCUGAUGCUACCGCAGUAGAAUGUAAUGAGGUCUCUGAUGCUACCACAGUAGAAUGUAAUGAGGUCUCUGAUGCUACCGCAGUAGAAUGUAAUGAGGUCUCUGAUGCUACCGCAGUAGAAUGUAAUGAUGUCUCUGAUGCUACCGCAGUAGAAUGUAAUGAGGUCUCUGAUGCUACCGCAGUAGAAUGUAAUGAGGUCUCUGAUGCUACCGCAGUAGAAUGUAAUGAGGUCUCUGAUGCUACCACAGUAGAAUGUAAUGAGGUCUCUGAUGCUACCACAGUAGAAUGUAAUGAGGUCUCUGAUGCUACCACAGUAUAAUUCAAUAUCCCAAGCCUAAUAGGGAACUAGUUUUUCCCCCAACAUAUCCCUGCAUUUAGAGGAGCAGAUGCUACUGUGAUUGGCCAGCACCACCCCUAGAUGUGGCCCUUUAGAGGAGCAGAUGCUACUGUGAUUGGCCAGCACCACCCCUAGAUGUGGCCCUUUAGAGGAGCAGAUGCUACUGUGAUUGGCCAGCACCACCCCUAGAUGUGGCCUUUUAGAGGAGCAGAUGCUACUGUGAUUGGCCAGCACCACCCCUAGAUGUGGCCCUUUAGAGGAGCAGAUGCUACUGUGAUUGGCCAGCACCACCCCUAGAUGUGGCCCUUUAGAGGAGCAGAUGCUACUGUGAUUGGCCAGCACCACCCCUAGAUGUGGCCCUUUAGAGGAGCAGAUGCUCCUGUGAUUGGCCAGCACCACCCCUAGAUGUGGCCCUUUAGAGGAGCAGAUGCUACUGUGAUUGGCCAGCACCACCCCUAGAUGUGGCCCUUUAGAGGAGCAGAUGCUACUGUGAUUGGCCAGCACCACCCCUAGAUGUGGCCCUUUAGAGGAGCAGAUCUUACUGUGAUUGGCCAGCACCACCCCGAGAUGUGGCCCUUUAGAGGAGCAGAUUUAAGUACCCCCAGCGGG